AUUGAACGCUGGCGGCAUGCCUUACACAUGCAAGUCGAACGGUAACGGGCCUUCGGGUGCCGACGAGUGGCGCACGGGUGCGUAAUACAUCGGAACGUGCCCGAUCGUGGGGGAUAACGAGGCGAAAGCUUUGCUAGUACCGCAUACGAUCUACGGAUGAAAGCAGGGGACCGCAAGGCCUUGCGCGGACGGAGCGGCCGAUGGCAGAUUAGGUAGUUGGUGGGAUAAAAGCUUACCAAGCCGACGAUCUGUAGCUGGUCUGAGAGGAUGAUCAGCCACACUGGGACUGAGACACGGCCCAGACUCCUACGGGAGGCAGCAGUGGGGAAUUUUGGACAAUGGGCGCAAGCCUGAUCCAGCCAUGCCGCGUGCAGGAUGAAGGCCUUCGGGUUGUAAACUGCUUUUGUACGGAACGAAAAGCCUUCUUUUAAUACAGGAGGGUCAUGACGGUACCGUAAGAAUAAGCACCGGCUAACUACGUG
rnacentral:rRNA from 1 species